GGCGAGAGCCUGAACCAGCCAAGUCGCGUGAAGGAAGACUGCCUUAUGGGUUGUAAACUUCUUUUAUACAGGAAUAAAAAGGCUUACGUGUAGGCCAUUGCAAGUACUGUAUGAAUAAGCAUCGGCUAACUCCGUGCCAGCAGCCGCGGUAAUACGAAGGGGGCUAGCGUUGUUCGGAAUCACUGGGCGUAAAGCGCACGUAGGCGGACUUUUAAGUCAGGGGUGAAAUCCCGGGGCUCAACCUCGGAACUGCCUUUGAUACUGGAAGUCUGGAGUCCGAGAGAGGUGAGUGGAACUCCGAGUGUAGAGGUGAAAUUCGUAGAUAUUCGGAAGAACACCAGUGGCGAAGGCGGCUCACUGGCUCGGUACUGACGCUGAGGUGCGAAAGCGUGGGGAGCAAACA
rnacentral:rRNA from 1 species